rnacentral:rRNA from 1 species
CCGCUCAGUACGACUGAAGGGGUUUUCGGUUCGGCCGGAGUCACACAGGUGCUGCAUGGCUGUCGUCAGCUCGUGUCGUGAGAUGUUGGGUUAAGUCCCGCAACGAGCGCAACCCUCAUCCUUAUUUGCCAUCAGUUCGGCUGGGCACUCUAGGGAAACUGCCGGUGAUAAGCCGGAGGAAGGUGGGGAUGACGUCAAGUCCUCAUGGCCCUUAUGGGCUGGGCUACACACGUGCUACAAUGGCGACUACAGUGGGCAGCGACAUCGCGAGGUGAAGCUAAUCUCAAAAAGUCGUCUCAGUUCGGAUUGUACUCUGCAACUCGAGUGCAUGAAGUCGGAAUCGCUAGUAAUCGCGGAACAGCAUGCCGCGGUGAAUACGUUCCCGGGUCUUGUACACACCGAA